ensembl:lncRNA
AGAGAGACAGAGACAUACAGGCAUACAGAUAGACAGAUAGCUAGACUGAGAAACAGACAGAUAGAUAGAGAGACAGACAGGCAUACAGAUAGACAGAGAUAGAGAGACAGGUAGACAGACAGACAGAUAUAGAGACAGACAGAUAGUUAGACAGAUAAGCAUACAGAGAGACACAGACAGACAGGCAUACAGAGAGAGACAGACAGAGAGACAGAGAUACACAGAUAGAGACAGAUAGGACAGAGAGGCAUACAGAGAGACAGACAGGCAUACAGAGAGACAGACAGGCAUACAGAGAGACAGACAGGCAUACAGAGAGACAGACAGGCAUACAGAGAGACAGACAGGCAUACAGAGAGACAGACAGAGAGACAGAGAUACACAGAUAGAGACAGAUAGACAGAGAGGCAUACAGAGAGACAGAGAGAGAGACAGACAGACAGAGAGAGGUUACACAGUCUCAGCUUGGGGCAAUGUCAGUGUUUGUAAUAUUAUUUACCACUCAACAUAUUUAUAUUUCUUUAACACCGUGUCAGCGUGGGCGUGGUCAAGUGUCAGCAGUGGACAGAAAGGAGACGGGUUGAACCAGCAGGUAACGUGUUAUGAUUCUCACCUCUCUUUCAGGGAGAAGAGCAUGAACCCGAGAGAGGGACAGAGCUGACGGAGCUCGCACAUCACACUCACACUCGCACGCACUC